rnacentral:rRNA from 1 species
UGAGGCAGUCAAAGUAGGCAAAUCCGCUUUGAUAAUGCUGGGAUGUGAUGGGGAGCGAAAUUUAGUAGCGAAGUAGCUGAUUUCACACUGUCAAGAAAAGUCUCUAUCGAGGUUAAAGGUACCCGUACCGCAAACCGACACAGGUGGGUGAGGAGAGUAUCCUAAGGCCAGCGAGAGAACUGUUGUUAAGGAACUCGGCAAAAUGACCCCGUAACUUAGGGAUAAGGGGUGCCACCAUCAGGUGGCCGCAGAGAAUAGGCCCAAGCGACUGUUUACCAAAAACAUAGGUUUCUGCUAAGUCGCAAGACGAUGUAUAGGAGCUGACGCCUGCCCGGUGCUGGAAGGUUAAGGGGAUCUGUUAGAGCAAUCGAAGCAGUGAACUUAAGCCCCAGUAAACGGCGGCCGUAACUAUAACGGUCCUAAGGUAGCGAAAUUCCUUGUCGGGUAAGUUCCGACCCGCACGAAAGGCGUAACGAUUUGGGCACUGUCUCAACAACAGACUCGGUGAAAUUGUAAUUCCGGUGAAGAUGCCGGAUACCUGCGACAGGACGGAAAGACCCCAUGGAGCUUUACUGUAGCUUGACAUUGGGUCUUGGUACUACAUGUACAGGAUAGGUGGGAGGCUUUGAAACCAGGACGCCAGUUUUGGCGGAGCCAUCCUUGGGAUACCACCCUUGUAGUACUGGGACUCUAACCAUAGGCCAUGAAUCUGGUCUUGGGACACUGUCAGGUGGGCAGUUUGACUGGGGCGGUCGCCUCCCAAAAGGUAACGGAGGCGCUCAAAGGUUCUCUCAGUACGGUCGGAAAUCGUACGUAGAGUGUAAAGGCAAAAGAGAGCUUGAUUGCAAGACAUACAGGUCGAGCAAGGAUGAAAAUCGGACUUAGUGAUCCGGUGGUUCUGCGUGGAAGGGCCAUCGCUCAACGGAUAAAAGCUACCCUGGGGAUAACAGGCUUAUCUCCCCCAAGAGUCCACAUCGACGGGGAGGUUUGGCACCUCGAUGUCGGCUCAUCACAUCCUGGGGCUGUAGUAGGUCCCAAGGGUUGGGCUGUUCGCCCAUUAAAGUGGUACGCGAGCUGGGUUCAGAACGUCGUGAGACAGUUCGGUCCCUAUCCGUCGCAGGCGUAGGAAAUUUGAGAAGACCUGUCCUUAGUACGAGAGGACCGGGAUGGACG